rnacentral:rRNA from 1 species
UACGAAAGGUGCAAGCGUUACUCGGAAUUACUGGGCGUAAAGCGUGCGUAGGUGGUGAGUUAAGUCUGUCGUGAAAGCCCCGGGCUCAACCUGGGAAUGGCGAUGGAUACUGGCUCGCUAGAGUGCGGUAGAGGAGAGUGGAAUUCCCGGUGUAGCAGUGAAAUGCGUAGAGAUCGGGAGGAACAUCAGUUGCGAAGGCGGCUCUCUGGACCAGCACUGACACUGAGGCACGAAAGCGUGGGGAGCAAACAGG